rnacentral:tRNA from 1 species
GCCGGGGUGGCAGAGUGGUUAAUGCGCUGGCCUUCCUAGCCAGUGGGCCCUCGGGCCCGCAGGGGUUCAAAUCCCCUCCCCGGCG